CCUACGGGUGGCAGCAGUGGGGAAUAUUGCGCAAUGGGCGAAAGCCUGACGCAGCGACGCCGCGUGAGGGAUGAAGGUUUUCGGAUCGUAAACCUCUGUCAGAAGGGAAGAAGUUGCAUGGGGCCAAUCACCUGUGCAUUGACGGUACCUUCAAAGGAAGCACCGGCUAACUCCGUGCCAGCAGCCGCGGUAAUACGGAGGGUGCGAGCGUUAAUCGGAAUUACUGGGCGUAAAGCGCACGUAGGCUGUAUGUCAAGUCAAGGGUGAAAUCCCACGGCUCAACCGUGGAACUGCCUUUGAAACUGGCAAACUGGAGUAUGUGAGAGGGCGGCGGAAGUCCUGGUGUAGGAGUGAAAUCCGUAGAUAUCAGGAAGAACACCAGUGGCGAAGGCGGCUCUCUGGUCUGCAACUGACGCUGAGGCUCGAAAGCAUGGGUAGCGAACAGGAUUAGAUACCCGAGUAGUC
rnacentral:rRNA from 1 species